GACGAACGCUGGCGGCGUGCUUAACACAUGCAAGUCGAACGGUGAAGCGCCUUCCUUUUUGGUGGGUGUGGAUGAGUGGCGAACGGGUGAGUAACACGUGAGUAACCUGCCCCCUCCUUCUGGAUAACCGCAUGAAAGUGUGGCUAAUACGGGAUAUUCUGGGUCUGUCGCAUGAUGGGUCUGGGAAAGAUAUUGUUUCGGUGGGGGAUGGGCUCGCGGCCUAUCAGCUGGUUGGUGGGGUGAUGGCCUACCAAGGCGGGGGCGGGUAGCCGGCCUGAGAGGGUGGACGGUCUCACUGGGUCUGAGACACGGCCCAGACUCCUACGGGAGGCAGCAGUGGGGAAUAUGGCACAGUGGGCGCAAGCCUGAUGCAGCGACGCCGCGUGAGGGAUGGAGGCCUGCGGGUUGUGAACGUCUUUCGCCAGUGAAGCAGGCCUGCCUCGUUUGUGGGUGGGUUGACGGUAGCUGGAUAAGAAGCGCCGGCUAACUACGUG
rnacentral:rRNA from 1 species